AUUGAACGCUGGCGGUAUGCUUUACACAUGCAAGUCGAACGGCAGCACGGGGCAACCUGGUGGCGAGUGGCGAACGGGUGAGUAACAUAUCGGAACAUGUCCGGAAGUGGGGGAUAACGUAGCGAAAGUUACGCUAAUACCGCAUAUGCCCUGAGGGGGAAAGGGGGGAUCGCAAGACCUCUCGCUUUCGGAGUGGCCGAUAUCGGAUUAGCUAGAUGGUGAGGUAAAGGCUCACCAUGGCGACGAUCCGUAGCUGGUCUGAGAGGACGACCAGCCACACUGGAACUGAGACACGGUCCAGACUCCUACGGGUGGCAG
rnacentral:rRNA from 1 species